UACGAAGGGGCGUAGCGUUGUUCGGAGUUACUGGGCGUAAAGGCGCGUAGGCGGCUCUUCAAGUCGGGCGUGAAAGCCCUGGGCUCAACCCGGGAAUGGCGCCCGGGACUGGCGAGCUUGAGUGCGGGAGAGGAUGGUGGAAUUCCCAGUGUAGAGGUGAAAUUCGUAGAUAUUGGGAAGAACACCGGUGGCGAAGGCGGCCAUCUGGUCCGCAACUGACGCUGAGGCGCG
rnacentral:rRNA from 1 species